rnacentral:rRNA from 1 species
UGGGGGAUAUUGCACAAUGGGGGAAACCCUGAUGCAGCGACGCCGCGUGAGGGAAGACGGUCCUCUGGAUUGUAAACCUCUGUCUUCGGGGACGAAACGAGACGGUACCCGAGGAGGAAGCCACGGCUAACUACGUGCCAGCAGCCGCGGUAAUACGUAGGUGGCAAGCGUUGUCCGGAAUUACUGGGUGUAAAGGGAGCGUAGGCGGGCAGGCAAGUCAGGCGUGAAAUAUAUCGGCUCAACCGGUAACGGCGCUUGAAACUGCAGGUCUUGAGUGAAGUAGAGGUUGGCGGAAUUCCUAGUGUAGCGGUGAAAUGCGUAGAUAUUAGGAGGAACACCAGUGGCGAAGGCGGCCAACUGGGCUUUUACUGACGCUGAGGCUCGAAAGUGUGGGGAGCAAACA